rnacentral:rRNA from 1 species
GACGAACGCUGGCGGCGUGCCUAAUACAUGCAAGUAGAACGCUGAAGGAGGAGCUUGCUUCUCUGGAUGAGUUGCGAACGGGUGAGUAACGCGUAGGUAACCUGCCUGGUAGCGGGGGAUAACUAUUGGAAACGAUAGCUAAUACCGCAUAAUAGUAGAUGUUGCAUGACAUUUGCUUAAAAGGUGCAAUUGCAUCACUACCAGAUGGACCUGCGUUGUAUUAGCUAGUUGGUGGGGUAACGGCUCACCAAGGCGACGAUACAUCGCCGACCUGAGAGGGGGAUCGGCCACACUGGGACUGAGACACGGCCCAGACUCCUACGGGAGGCAGCAGUAGGGGAUCUUCGGCAAUGGACGGAAGUCUGACCGAGCAACGCCGCGUGAGUGAAGAAGGUUUUCGGGUCGUAAAGCUCUGUUGUAAGAGAAGAACGAGUGUGGGAGUGGAAAGUUCACACUGUGACGGUAUCUUGCCAGAAAGGGACGGCUAACUACGUG